CAGGAAACCGCGCUGCAACUGGCCGCCUUCUACUACAUCAGGCACCAGGCCUGCAAGGACGCCAGCUGCAUCCACGCGCUGUGCCACGCCGGGGCCGACGUGAACGAGCCCGGAGGGCCGCAGGCCCUCACCCCGCUGGAGCUGGCGGCCAUGUUCGGCCACGCCGCCCUGGUCAAGUGGCUGCUGGCCAAGGGCGCCCGGCCCCCCGCAGAGCCGCAGCGCCACCCCUACCUGCUGGCCAGGGCCUUCGGCCACCAGGACACCGCCCGCCUGAUCGCGCACUCCAUGCACCUCAAGCAGCUGGGGCUGAUGCCCGACUAACCUGUGAUUGUGAUCUAGUGAUAAGAAUAAAAACCGUGCGCUCACCU
rnacentral:lncRNA from 1 species